ACUCCUACGGGAGGCAGCAGUGGGGAAUUUUGGACAAUGGGGGCAACCCUGAUCCAGCCAUUCCGCGUGAGUGAAGAAGGCCUUCGGUUGUAAAGCUCUUUCGGCAGGAACGAAACGGCGAGCUCUAACAUAGCUUGCUAAUGACGGUACCUGAAGAAGAAGCACCGGCUAACUACGUGCCAGCAGCCGCGGUAAUACGUAGGGUGCGAGCGUUAAUCGGAAUUACUGGGCGUAAAGCGUGCGCAGGCGGUUGUGUAAGACAGGUGUGAAAUCCCCCGGGCUUAACCUGGGAACUGCGCUUGUGACUGCACGGCUAGAGUAUGGCAGAGGGGGUGGAAUUCCACGUGUAGCAGUGAAAUGCGUAGAGAUGUGGAGGAACACCGAUGGCGAAGGCAGCCCCCUGGGCCAAUACUGACGCUCAUGCACGAAAGCGUGGGAGCAAACAGGAUUAGAUACCCCUGGUAGGAUAGCG
rnacentral:rRNA from 1 species